GGGAGGGGGUGAAAAUAUCCACACACACACUCACACACAAACACACACACCCCGAAGCUCCAUGCUCGGUGAAAGAGGAUGGCCAUCCCAGAUAGGAGUGCACUGUUCUUGGGUCAAGGGUAUCAAGG